GUUGUGCGCAGCUCAGAACAUUUCAGUACAUAAUAAACAUGGAAUUUAUUAAAAAAUUCAAUAACAAGAAAUCAAGCAAAUUUAAUAAUUAAAAAUAAUUCCAAGUUCAAAUAAUAGCCUGUUACAUUUUCUUUAUUUCAGAAUAAUAGGUAUACUGUGGAUUCAUUAUAAUUCAUUGGAUACAAUUUUUCGUGGGUUUCGUGGGUACAGGUGAACCAAAAAUUCAAAUGAUAAGAUAUUUUCAAUAGGCUUGUAUACUGAGAUUGGCAAAACCACAAAAAAAACAAAAUCAACGAAAAUGCAAUUUUUCUGCAAUCCAUGAAAAUUAUUACCCAUGAAAAU
rnacentral:lncRNA from 1 species